CCCCUUCUGCGCGCUAUUUAGGAAGUUUUACGGUGCUUCAGAUAGCGUAAGCUAGCUAGCUAAUGGCGUUAGAUAGAAGAUAACUGGCACCGACUACAGUAUAGACAUGUUUCAAUAAACGUUUCACUUUAUUUUAAUCUAGCUUCGUUGAUUAAAAUAAUCACAACAGUUGUUCAAAAUGAAGGUAGAGUGUGAGAACACACAGGACAAAACAAAUGUAACUUGUCAUAGAGGAAGGGUCGGCUGUGCUGAAAAUGCAGAGGGAAUGGAGCCAGGAAUGUCAGAAGUUAUUGUUCAGCUUGAAGAUGAACAAUAUCUUUCGAGCCCAGAAACCUGCUCUUCUCCAGAAACCGACAUGUUUUUAUUCGCUCCUAUUUCAGACACUGAAGAAAGCGCUGACUAUGAUUCGGAUUCUUCAGGUGUUCCUACUGGUAAACAACAUUGUAUGCUUCGAAGUAACGUUGAAGGUAACAAGUUAAAAGAAUACACGAAGACCGAAGAUAAUGAGCAUUCAUCUCUGCCUGCUGAAAAUGCCUUGGCUCAGAAGAUCAAUUAUGUGAUUCCUAAGAAUGCUGUGGAAAAUGGUGUGCUUCCCAGGACUGAUAGAAAACCAAGGCGUAAGAAAACAAAUAGUCCAUUACCAAAGGAAAGUAGUUCAUCAUCGUCAAAAGACCAGUCAAAGCGCCAUGGGAGGAAGAAGUCACCUCUAAAGAUGCAACCAUAUAAAUCAGACAAGUCAUUGCAAGACUGCAGAAUGUCUGGGGAGACAGCAGGCUGGAUACCUGCUCCCUACACUAAGACAGAGACUGCCAUCAGCCCACAAACAGCCAUGGAGCCUCCUGGCUUCCCCUCUGUACAGGCCAAGAUUGAGGAGCCAUUCUUUGACAAGAAAGACAAUGUUUUGCUGGAAGUGUUGAAAUAUUGCCAGACACUGUGCACAGCUGUACAGAGGCUUGAGCAAAAAGUUGACAGUCUCCAAGCAGAGUGCUCCAAGUUAUAUCUCCACGUCAACAAGGAAAACUCGAAGGAGGAAUGGCACUCAUCAACUCAGAGACUAGAGUUUGAGCUUGCUGAUCCCAACUCCCAUGCUCCCACUCUGAGUCGAAGACAAUCAGACAAGCGACACACUUUGCCAUUUUGGGACAGAGACCAGCCACCUUGGCGACAGGGACAGCUAAACGUUAGUGCUAGAACCGAAAACAACUGUCAGUGCCUACUUCCAAGCAAUGAAGAAACUGAUACAAACAGACUUGACUCAUCCCAACCUGAUGCCAACUUGGAAGAAGCCGACAAAACUAGCAUGAGCAAAAUUGCAGGAAGAGGUAGAGGAAGAGGAGGAGGAGGAGGAAGAAGAGGAAGGGGCCAGAGUAAAGGAAGGAGUCAAACUACCAACAAGCAGAAGGAUCCACAUCUUAGCAAAGUGCCCCCUGUAAGGGCAAAUCAACCCAAACGCAGAGCAGCCUCCGCUGUCCCUAAUGACCAGGGGCCAUGUGCCAGCAAAGUGGCCAAGAUCCUCUCAAAGCUGCAGGAGAGGCGAUUGGCAGCAGGGGGCCCAGUGGAUGAGGGCUGUGAGGCCACUACAAACACCAGUGCCUCUGAGAAGGGAGAACAACAAGUGAUGAUUGGCAGUGCCUUCAGGAAGGUGUGUAUCCCCUACUCCGUGUACAUGGAGGCCUUCAAGCUGGAUGAGCCGCAGAGGGCCGUGGUGCCAGUGUUGCAUGCAGUCUUUCCACUAAGUGUCCUUACCUGUAGUGCUGUGGUUGGAAACCCUCAAAGGGGCAUCCAGGAGCUCAACCCAAACAAACUAGAGGCCAUCCGAGAAUGGCUGGCGGAGAUGUACCCUAGACAUGAGCUGGAGGUGAAGGGAAAAGCUUGGGCAGAAUGUUUGGGCAUCCUGAACAGUAUCACCAAAACGUUGAAAACGGAUACGACACCAGCCAAGAAAUCCUCACCCAAGGUGCCUUGAAAUUUAGCAGAUGGAUACAAAUUAUUUGGUUGGAUGUUUUGUUAUACUUUGAUCUCAGGGGCUACGAGACUGUUUGUGUUAUAUUUUUGAUAUCCUAUGCUGCUAAAAUUACUUUUUUAUAUACUACACACAGAACUGAACAUUUUAAGCGUUAAGCGAUAAGAUAGCAAAUAUAAUGGCGUUACACCCCAGUGUUGUAGCCGAGAGGGUUUUUGAGCUCGACUUUUCUAAAUGACAAAGAAUUUAUGUUUAUCUUUUUGUAUUACCCUUAAUACAGAGGACUAUCAAGCUAUUUUGUGUGUCUCACAUUAUUUCAAUCCAGUUUUAGAGGCUGAUGAUCAGCGGAACUAUUUAACUUUAUCCAACUUACCCUUAAAGAAGCAUUAUGGAGUUGUCUAAAACUACUGAGCUACCUUCCUAAACAAAAUAUGCAAGACUGGCCAACAACACAACUAACACCCAAGCUGGUACUGAUAAAAGCUUGCUAACAUGCUAACUGGUGUCUUUUGUU
ensembl:lncRNA